rnacentral:rRNA from 1 species
GAAUGCGUUUGAUCAAAGCUCGUCCUUGUGGCGUGGCUCGGUUGGCGCUUCCUAUCUUCCGAUAGUAGGAGUGUGGCAACACAUUUCCGCUUCGGAUCAUUUACUUUGAAAAAAUUAGAGUGUUCAAAGCAGGCGUACCUUGCCAUUGAAUAUUACAGCAUGGGAUAAUAGAAUAUGACGUUGGUCUUAUUUUGUUGGUUUCUAAGGCUGAUGUA